rnacentral:rRNA from 1 species
UACAGAGGUCUCAAGCGUUUGUUCGGAUUCAUUGGGGCGUAAAGGGUGUGUAGGUGGCGCCGUAAGUCGGGUGUGAAAUCUUGGAGCUUAACUCCGAAACUGCAUUCGAUACUGCCGUGCUUGAGGACUGGAGAGGAGACUGGAAUUUACGGUGUAGCGGUGAAAUGCGUAGAUAUCGUGAGGAACACCAGAGGCGAAGGCGGCUACCUGGACAAUUGCUGACGCUCGAGGCACGAAAGCGUGGGGAGCAAAAGGG